rnacentral:rRNA from 1 species
GAUGAACGCUGGCGGCGUGCCUAAUACAUGCAAGUCGAGCGAACGGACGAGAAGCUUGCUUCUCUGAUGUUAGCGGCGGACGGGUGAGUAACACGUGGAUAACCUACCUAUAAGACUGGGAUAACUUCGGGAAACCGGAGCUAAUACCGGAUGAUAUUUUGAACCGCAUGGUUCAAAAGUGAAAGACGGUCUUGCUGUCACUUAUAGAUGGAUCCGCGCUGCAUUAGCUAGUGGGUAAGGUAACGGCUUACCAAGGCAACGAUGCAUAGCCGACCUGAGAGGGUGAUCGGCCACACUGGAACUGAGACACGGUCCAGACUCCUACGGGAGGCAGCAGUAGGGAAUCUUCCGCAAUGGGCGAAAGCCUGACGGAGCAACGCCGCGUGAGUGAUGAAGGUCUUCGGAUCGUAAAACUCUGUUAUUAGGGAAGAACAUAUGUGUAAGUAACUGUGCACAUCUUGACGGUACCUAAUCAGAAAGCCACGGCUAACUACGUG